GAUGAACGCUGGCGGCGUGCUUAGCACAUGCAAGUCGAACGGGAAACCUUUUAUUGAAGCUUCGGCAGAUUUAGCUGGUUUCUAGUGGCGGACGGGUGAGUAACGCGUGGGUAACCUGCCUUAUACAGGGGGAUAACAACCAGAAAUGGUUGCUAAUACCGCAUAAGCGCACAGGACCGCAUGGUCCGGUGUGAAAAACUCCGGUGGUAUAAGAUGGACCCGCGUUGGAUUAGCUAGUUGGCAGGGUAACGGCCUACCAAGGCGACGAUCCAUAGCCGGCCUGAGAGGGUGAACGGCCACAUUGGGACUGAGACACGGCCCAGACUCCUACGGGAGGCAGCAGUGGGGAAUAUUGCACAAUGGGGGAAACCCUGAUGCAGCGACGCCGCGUGAAGGAAGAAGUAUCUCGGUAUGUAAACUUCUAUCAGCAGGGAAGAUAGUGACGGUACCUGACUAAGAAGCCCCGGCUAACUACGUG
rnacentral:rRNA from 1 species